GGAGUAUGGACCGUGUCUCAGUUCCAUUGUGGCCGUUCAUCCUCUCAGACCGGCUACCGAUCGUCGGCUUGGUGGUCUCUUACACCGCCAACAAGCUAAUCAGACGCAUCCCCAUCCCUUAGCGAUAAAUCUUUGGUAUUCGUCAGAUGUCCUCAAAAUACAACAUAGAGUAUUAAUCCGACUUUCGCCGGGCUAUCCUCUACUAAGGGGAAGGUUGGAUACGCGUUACUCACCCGUGCGCCGGUCGCCAGCGACAAUAGCAAGCUAUCGUCCUGCUGCCCCUCGACUUGCAUGUGUUAAGCCUGUAGCUAGCGUUCAUC
rnacentral:rRNA from 1 species